rnacentral:rRNA from 1 species
UACGAGGGGGUGCAAGCGUUGCUCGGAAUUAUUGGGCGUAAAGGGUAGGUAGGUGGUCUCAUUUGUCUGGGGUGAAAGCCUUGAGCUUAACUCAAGAAGUGCCCCAGAAACGGCGAGACUGGAGUCUUGGAGAGGGUCGUGGAAUUCCCGGUGUAGCGGUGAAAUGCGUAGAGAUCGGGAGGAACACCAGCGGCGAAGGCGGCGACCUGGACAAGUACUGACACUCAACUACGAAAGCGUGGGGAGCAAACAGG